rnacentral:rRNA from 1 species
AUGUACAUGCAUAUGGAGUUAAUGCACCGGAUCUGAUUAGAACUCCAUAGUUAAACGUGUUCAAGCUAGAGUAGUAUUGGGAUGGGUGAUUUCCUAGGAAGUCCUAAUGUUUUACAUU